rnacentral:rRNA from 1 species
CACGUAGGCGGAUAUUUAAGUCAGGGGUGAAAUCCCAGAGCUCAACUCUGGAACUGCCUUUGAUACUGGGUAUCUUGAGUAUGGAAGAGGUAAGUGGAAUUCCGAGUGUAGAGGUGAAAUUCGUAGAUAUUCGGAGGAACACCAGUGGCGAAGGCGGCUGUCUGGUCCGGUUCUGACGCUGAGGCGCGAAAGCGUGGGGAGCAAACA